rnacentral:rRNA from 1 species
AUUGAACGCUGGCGGAAUGCUUUACACAUGCAAGUCGAACGGCAGCACGGACUUCGGUCUGGUGGCGAGUGGCGAACGGGUGAGUAAUGUAUCGGAACGUGCCCAGUCGUGGGGGAUAACGUAGUGAAAAUUACGCUAAUACCGCAUACGAUCUAUGGAUGAAAGCGGGGGAUCGCAAGACCUCGCGCGAUUGGAGCGGCCGAUAUCAGAUUAGGUAGUUGGUGGGGUAAAGGCCCACCAAGCCAACGAUCUGUAGCUGGUCUGAGGGGACGAACAGCCACACUGGAACUGAGACACGAUCCAGACUCCUACGGGAGGCAGCAGUGGGGAAUUUUGGACAAUGGGCGAAAGCCUGAUCCAGCCAUUCCGCGUGCAGGAUGAAGGCCCUCGGGUUGUAAACUGCUUUUGUACAGAACGAAAAGGUUUCUACUAAUACUAGGAGCUCAUGACGGUACUGUAAGAAUAAGCACCGGCUAACUACGUGCCAGCCGCCGCCGUAA